rnacentral:tRNA from 2 species
GGGCCGGUAGAUCAGUCUGGUAUGAACUACUCCUCAAUCGAGGGUCGUUACCAAAUCGUCCGCUUGGCAUGCGGAAGGUCGCGGGUUCAAAUCCCGCCCGGUCCACCA